rnacentral:pre_miRNA from 1 species
AUAUUAAUCACUUAGGGAUCUAAUUAAAAAGCAAAUUCUCAUUCAGUAAGUCUGAGGUGGGGCCUAGGAUUCUACAUUUUUAACAAGUUCCCAGGUGGUGCCAUG